GACGAACGCUGGCGGCGUGCUUAACACAUGCAAGUCGAACGGAAAGGCCUCUUUCGGGGGGUACUCGAGUGGCGAACGGGUGAGUAACACGUGAGUAACCUGCCCUUGACUUUGGGAUAACUUCAGGAAACUGGGGCUAAUACCGGAUAGGAGCUCCUGCUGCAUGGUGGGGGUUGGAAAGUUUCGGCGGUUGGGGAUGGACUCGCGGCUUAUCAGCUUGUUGGUGGGGUAGUGGCUUACCAAGGCUUUGACGGGUAGCCGGCCUGAGAGGGUGACCGGCCACAUUGGGAAUGAGAUACGGCCCAGACUCCUACGGGAGGCAGCAGUGGGGAAUAUUGCACAAUGGGUGGAAGCCUGAUGCAGCAACGCCGUGUGCGGGAUGACGGCCUUCGGGUUGUAAACCGCUUUCGCUCAUGACGAAGCUUUGUGUGACGGUAGUGGGUAAAGAAGCACCGGCUAACUACGUG
rnacentral:rRNA from 1 species